AGCUUUGCGCAGUGGCAGUAUCGUAGCCAAUGAGGUUUAUCCGAGGCGCGAUUAUUGCUAAUUGAAAACAAUAUUCUAGUUAUGUUCAAGAGAUUCUGCCCCAAAUCAAUGAGCUAUUGGAAAGUUUACAGGCACUUUUUCUGAAUA